UACGAAGGGGGCUAGCGUUGCUCGGAAUGACUGGGCGUAAAGGGCGCGUAGGCGGACGGCUUUGUCGGGCGUGAAAUUCCAGGGCUUAACCUUGGGGCUGCGUUCGAGACGGGUUGUCUAGAGUUUGGAAGAGGGUCGUGGAAUUCCCAGUGUAGAGGUGAAAUUCGUAGAUAUUGGGAAGAACACCGGUGGCGAAGGCGGCGACCUGGUCCGUUGACUGACGCUGAGGCGCGAAAGCGUGGGGAGCAAACAGG
rnacentral:rRNA from 1 species